GGGGAUAUAGCUCAGUGGUACAGCACUUUCCUGACAUGCAGGAGGCCCUGGGUUCAAUCCCCAGCACUACUA
rnacentral:tRNA from 1 species